rfam:Elusimicrobia bacterium RIFOXYA2_FTLL_58_8 rifoxya2_full_scaffold_4002, whole genome shotgun sequence.
GGGCUUGUGGCGGAACUGGUAGACGCGACGGACUUAAAAUUCGUUGGCCGCAAGGCCGUGUGGGUUCGAGUCCCACCAUGCCCA